rnacentral:rRNA from 1 species
GACGAACCGUGCGAACGUUAUUCGGAUUCACUGGGCUUAAAGGGCGCGUAGGCGGACUCGCCAGUCCGGGGUGAAAUCUUUCGGCUUAACCGGAAAAGUGCCUUGGAUACUGCGAGCCUUGAGGAAGGUAGGGGCAUGUGGAACUUCCGGUGGAGCGGUGAAAUGCGCAGAUAUCAGGAGGAACACCGGUGGCGAAGGCGGGUCUCUGGGCCGAUAUUGACGCUGAGGAGCGAAAGCGUGGGGAGCGAACAGG